GUGAACGCUGGCGGUAGGCCUAACACAUGCCCGUCGAACGGCAGCACAGUAAGAGCUUGCUCUUACGGGUGGCGAGUGGCGGACGGGUGAGGAAUACAUCGGAAUCUACUUUUUCGUGGGGGAUAACGUAGGGAAACUUACGCUAAUACCGCAUACGACCUACGGGUGAAAGCAGGGGAUCUUCGGACCUUGCGCGAUUGAAUGAGCCGAUGUCGGAUUAGCUAGUUGGCGGGGUAAAGGCCCACCAAGGCGACGAUCCGUAGCUGGUCUGAGAGGAUGAUCAGCCACACUGGAACUGAGACACGGUCCAGACUCCUACGGGAGGCAGCAGUGGGGAAUAUUGGACAAUGGGCGCAAGCCUGAUCCAGCCAUACCGCGUGGGUGAAGAAGGCCUUCGGGUUGUAAAGCCCUUUUGUUGGGAAAGAAAAGCAGCAGGUUAAUACCCCGCUGUUCUGACGGUACCUAAAGAAUAAGCACCGGCUAACUUCGUG
rnacentral:rRNA from 1 species